AUGUCCACCGCCUGCCCCGCAGAGGCCGAGCGGCGGCGCCGGCGCGCCCGGACCGCGCGCCGGCAGAGCGCGGCAGGCGCGCGGACCGUGGCGAGCACGACGACCUCCACCAUGACGCAGGGGAAGCAGCAGCACACGGCGGCGCACCCGGCCGCCGUGCCGCCGGCCACCUCGCCGCAGCGGGGCUGCCUGCCGCUGCGGCUGAUCGCCUCGCUGUCGCAGCGCUGGUGGCCGUGCGCAUGCGGCUGCGGGUGGCUGUGCGAGCGGCGCGGCUGGAAGGCCGCGGACCGCCUGAGCGGGGGCUUGGGAGCGUCCUGCGCCCUCGCCGCCGCGACGGCCACGGAGGUGGCGGGGGCGGAGGCCUCCGAGCGGUGGCGGGGCUUGCUAGAGUGGGUGGUGGCCAUGGCUUGGCUUGCCUGGGCGAGUCGUUCGCGCGCGGGUGGCCUUAGAGCUGCCGCGGCGGCCACCACGUGGAACGCCCGCCGAAGAAAAUAG
rnacentral:rRNA from 1 species